AGCCAGACUCCUACGGGAGGCAGCAGUGGGGAAUAUUGCACAAUGGGGGAAACCCUGAUGCAGCGACGCCGCGUGAGUGAGGAAGUAUUUCGGUAUGUAAAGCUCUAUCAGCAGGGAAGAAAAUGACGGUACCUGAGUAAGAAGCCCCGGCUAACUACGUGCCAGCAGCCGCGGUAAUACGUAGGGGGCAAGCGUUAUCCGGAUUUACUGGGUGUAAAGGGAGCGUAGACGGCAGUGCAAGUCCGGAGUGAAAGGCGGGGGCUCAACCCCCGGACUGCUCUGGAAACUGUACGGCUGGAGUGCAGGAGAGGUAAGUGGAAUUCCUAGUGUAGCGGUGAAAUGCGUAGAUAUUAGGAGGAACACCAGUGGCGAAGGCGGCUUACUGGACUGUAACUGACGUUGAGGCUCGAAAGCGUGGGGAGCAAACAGGAUUAGAUACCCGUGUAGAC
rnacentral:rRNA from 1 species